rnacentral:rRNA from 1 species
UACGUAGGUGGCAAGCGUUUGUCCGGAUUUAUUGGGUUUAAAGGGUGCGUAGGCGGCUUUGUAAGUCAGUGGUGAAAUCUUCAAGCUUAACUUGGAACUGCCGUGGAUACUAUCAAUCUUGAAUAUCGUGGAGGUAAGCGGAAUAUGUCAUGUAGCGGUGAAUGCUUAGAUAUGACAUAGAACACCAAAUUGCGAGUAGUCACUUACUACACUGAUUCAUUGACGCUGAGG